rnacentral:tRNA from 1 species
GCCCCCAUCGUCUAUCGGUUAGGACGAGGGAUUCUCAUUCCCUAAAGCGGGGUUCGACUCCCCGUGGGGGCGCCA